rnacentral:tRNA from 1 species
GUGGGUAUAGUUCAAUGGUAGAGUGCAUAUUUAACAUGCAUGAGGUCCUGGGUUCAAUACCCAGUGCCGCCA